AUUCAGAUGGUUGGGGGACUUAGAAUUUUAUUUUUGGUUUACAUCUUGAAUGAUUAUGGAGAAAGUUCUUCUUUCCCCAUAUUUUAUCUCGUUAUGUUUCUCUACUCUCCAGAAAUGACUGAGGAGAAUAUUUACACAGAGGUGAAAUCUCAUGACAAAAGAAAAAAUACGAUCCAGAACUACUGGCAGUCAAUAUACUUAUGGACACCCGUGUUCCAAGUGCUGUGCGAGCUGCCAGUGAUACUAAGAAGACACUGUGUUUUGUUGUGGUUUACUGCAAUGCUUUCUUGC
rnacentral:lncRNA from 10 species